AAAAAGAUAAGCUAAAUUUAAGCUAAUGGGCUCAUAACCCAUCCAUGAAUAUAUAUAUUCUCUUUUUA
rnacentral:tRNA from 1 species